UUAUCAGGCGGAUUUUAUGUGAUACGGAUAGAAGGUGAUUAAUACAAUGUGUCAGGAAAAAAUACCCGAACAAUAAAGGAUUAUUAUUGAACACGAGUACUUCUAAGAAAUGUCUCCGCCGCUGCCACCACACCAUACCCCUCAUCACGGUCCGGCUCAUCACGGACCACAUCAUCAUGGACCACAUCACCAUGGACUGCCUCACCAUGGACCGCAUCAUCACGGACUGCCACAUCACGGACCACCUCACCAUGGACCGCUUCACCAUGCAGCGCCUCAUCACGGACCACCACAUCAUGGACUGCCUCAUCAUGGACCGUAUCAUCACGGAACGCAUCAUCAUGGACCGCAUCAUCACGGACCGCAUCAUCACUAAUAUGAUCCAGUAAAUUACGUAUUAUAACUACUCUAAUCUUCACAACUUUAUCCAGCCUAGGAUUAUUUUUUCUUUUAAUUACGCAGAUUAUUCGCGAAUGUAUCUCAGUGAAUCAAGAUCCCAGGAAUAAAGAUAAAAAUGUUAAUUUUGCUUUUAAAUUGAACUCGCUACAGUUACGGUAGCUCGGGAAUCUAAUUAAAUACCCUUAAAGAUAUAACUAUUAUCUGUUCAUUAAAUAAAUGUUCUAACUUGAAA